UACGAAGGGGGCUAGCGUUGCUCGGAAUCACUGGGCGUAAAGCGCACGUAGGCGGAUAUUUAAGUCAGUGGUGAAAUCUCCGGGCUCAACCCGGAAACUGCCAUUGAUACUAUUUAUCUUGAAUUCUGUUGAGGUAGGCGGAAUACAUCAUGUAGCGGUGAAAUGCUUAGAUAUGAUGUAGAACACCGAUUGCGAAGGCAGCUUACUAAACAGAUAUUGACGCUGAGGCACGAAAGCGUGGGGAUCAAACAGG
rnacentral:rRNA from 1 species